CAGUAGCCGCGGUAAUACGAAGGGUGCAAGCGUUACUCGGAAUUACUGGGCGUAAAGCGUGCGUAGGUGGUGGUUUAAGUCCGUUGUGAAAGCCCUGGGCUCAACCUGGGAAUUGCAGUGGAUACUGGGUCACUAGAGUGUGGUAGAGGAUAGUGGAAUUUCCGGUGUAGCAGUGAAAUGCGUAGAGAUUGGAAGGAACAUCUGUGGCGAAGGCGACUAUCGGGGCCAACACUGACACUGAGGCACGAAAGCGUGGGGAGCAAACAGGAUUAGAUACCCCAGUAGUCCCUGUCUCUUAUAA
rnacentral:rRNA from 1 species